UUAAUUUCGUUUCAUCAUAUACAAGCAAUUGUGACACUGCUAUUGGAUGAGUUUCAAACAGAAUGGUUGGUGUUCUCACACUUGGGUUAGCAAGUGGAUUUUAAAAUGGUCCGAUUUCUAGUAAUAAAUCACUACAUUUCGGUGGGCAAUUGCUUUCCAAAGAUUACAAUGCCAUAAAAUAAUAGAGUUCCACGUGACCGAAGACGCAUCCACUGUUACAUGGAUACGAAUUCUUAGAAUUGAGGUGUGGUAAUGAUCCUUCCGCAGGUUCACCUACGGAAA
rnacentral:misc_RNA from 1 species